GAUAUGAUUGGUGGUGUGGGUAUAACUGGUGGUAAUGGGACAAAAGGAGGAGGAUACACAAUUGGUGGUUUCACCACUGGUGGCUUAGGUACAUAAGGUGGGGUCACUGGCACCACUACUGGUGGCUUUGGUACAUAAGGUGGGGUCACUGGCACCACUGGUGGCUUAGGGACAUAGGGUGGUGACACUGGUGGCUUAGGGACAUAGGGUGGUGACACUGGUGGCUUAGGGACAUAGGGUGGUGACACUGGUGGCUUAGGGACAUAGGGUGGUUUGACCACUGGUGGUUUAGGGUAUGGAGGUGGUUUAACAACUGGGGGUUUUGGGACAUAAGGUGGAUGCACUAUUGGUGGUUUAACAAUGGGUGGUUUUGGAACAUGGGGUGGAUGCACUAUUGGUGGUUUAACAGUGGGUGGUUUUGGAACAUGAGGUGGAUGCACUAUUGGUGGCUUAACAAUGGGGGGUUUUGGGACAUGGGGUGGAUGCACCACAGGGGGUUUAGGAACAUGGGGUGGUUUUGGUGAUGAUUGUGGUGGUGGACAGGGUUGUGGCUUGCCAUGAUAUGGAGGUUGUUUUGGUGCUUUGUGAACUGGUGGCUUCACUAUAUUGUGG
rnacentral:lncRNA from 1 species